rnacentral:rRNA from 1 species
UAGGGAAUAUUGGUAAUGGGCGCAAGCCCGAACCAGCAACGCCGCGUGCGCGAUGAAGGCCUUCGGGUUGUAAAGCGCUUUUUAAGGGGAUGAGGAAGGACAGUACUCUUAGAAUAAGCCUCGGCUAACUACGUGCCAGCAGCCGCGGUAAAACGUAGGAGGCGAGCGUUAUCCGGAUUUACUGGGCGUAAAGCGUGUGUAGGCGGUUUGAUAAGUUGGAUGUGAAAGCUCCCGGCUCAACUGGGAGAGGUCGUUCAAAACUAUCAGACUUGAGAGUGGUAGAGGGAGGUGGAAUUCCGCGUGUAGUGGCGAAAUGCGUAGAUAUGCGGAGGAACACCAGUGGCGAAAGCGGCCUCCUGGCCCAUUUCUGACGCUCAGACACGAAAGCUAAGG